GUGGAGAAUAGUAUGUUUUCUACACUUUGUAGCAUGUCUCGGCUUCCUUCUCUACCUUCUGGUGCUGUUUGCGAGGGUCAUUGAUCCCAACGGGCAAGGCUUCAAUCCUUUGAAAUACGAGGAAGGCAGGGAAUUUUGCGGGGUGGUGAUUCUGGUAGUUUGGCUGAGAGUAUGCGGAGAGGUUACAGUUGAAAGUUCAGAGAAACACUACAUCCAUAACUCCAUAUUACUAGUUUUCACGAUCAUCUUCAGCAUCUUCCCGUUGUUGUUGUGGGCUCUUUGUUACGUAGAUGAGCUUCAAAUGUUUAUCGGUCACUGUAGAGAAUGUUCAAUGACUAGCUUUACCUUAGGUUUUUACCUAAAUUUAAAAACGUUAUCCAGUGAAACUGUACUCAGCAGAUAUUAUAAUACCAUUGAAUCAACAUUUUGUUCUUUUGCCAUCCCAAGGUAUCGACUUUUGGACUUAUUUUAGUUUUGGCUCAGACUGCAUUUUACUAUAGGUUAUAUCUGAAGAAUAUUAAUAAUUUAACCGUUUUAGAAUAUAUCUAAACAUCUUCAAGUAAUACUUAAAUGGAUUGUAUCUGCCUCUUCAUACAUACAUACAUAUUUCACUAAAGUUUCAUUUGUGUUUGAGAAAAUGUUCAAGCUUCGUGCAAAACAAUAAGUCAUGAUAGAUGUAGCCUAAGAACUUUGGGCUAAACAACCAUUUCUUCAUUGAACUAUAUUACAAUUGUAUUCCUGAAGUCAUCAGUAUGCUAAAAAAAGUAAAGUUAAUUUGAAAUAAUCCGUGUAGCUUAUCAACUAACUUUUUGAAUAAUUCUUAUAGUAUAAUCAGGUCAAUAAUACCUUGCACUGUAUCUUGAUUGAAGAGGUUGAAUGGCUUAACUUUAAAUAUACGAAAUAUUCGUACACAAACCGUUUCCUGGACUAUUUGGGUUUCAGAGGUCGUGAGAAAGUAAUGAAGAAGACUGCGUUAAAUAAAACCCUUAAUGUAAAUGCUAAAGAAAUCCACUUGAUUGCUGAAAAAUGUUUAGAGCAACAGUACCAUCCGUGUUGGUGAACUGGACUGAAUGUUAACAUCCCAGAGAUUUCUUCUGUACACACCAGAGAUAUCUAUUUGAGAUCUGGAUUUCCUUUUGAUGAAGAGUAAACGUUGCAACAAUUCCUUACAUAUAUCGAUUGAAGUGUUGGAAGCGUUUUAGAGUAAACUUACCACACAUCGUUUGGAACUCAUCAUCUAUUUCAGAAUAACUUGUUGAAAUGUUGAGCGAUUCAUUGAAUAGCCUUAAAAAGCAUUGUUUGUUGAAAUGGCGAAAGCUUUAAAGGGGCUUUGAUCUUAAAUAUUAGAGAUAUAUCUGCUGAAAUGCGCAAAGGUUCAUUUUUACAAGUCUUAAAAAUCACUCUGUAAGACUCAGUUAUUCAAAAUGCAUCCGCUGAAUUGUUGAAAGGUUUAUGGUGCAUUUUCUAAAUACUGUUUAGUUUUACGAAGUACUAAUAGAAGAUCAUGUUUUUGUGUAACAUAUUAGUUCCACUUUUACUAUUAGGUGUGAGUUUUUGUCCAAAAAAAGCGUAAAAAAUACAAAUUCUCCGUUAAAAAGGAUGAACAAUGAACUUCCUUUAUGUAUUGAUGUCUACUGAUUCCAUGUUAUUGAUAUUUCUAUCAGUGUAUUCUGUCUUUCAUUGUGCCUUGUUAGUAUGAAACAAAAAUAAGAACA